AUGCAUUGGAGACGGAAACGGCAACCCACUCCAGUGUUCUUGCCUGGAGAAUCCCAGGGACAGGGGAGCCUGGUGGGCUGCCGUCUAUGGGGUCGCACAGAGUCGGACACGACUGAAGCGACUCAGCAGCAGCAGCAGCAGUGUCUACUCCCUCGUUACCACUGUGAGGUUCCCCAUGCGUGGGGCUCCUGGAGACUCCUCAGCAGAGCGUCCAUGCUCAGCAGAGACCAGACCUGCCCCUCGUCUCCAGCCCAGCGCCUGGCGUGUUUUCGCGGCACCUCAGCAGGACAACAAAAGACCGAGACUGCCAGCACCAAGGUAGUGUGUUCAACGUUACCCUGACAGCUGUAACAACAGUUAAUAUCAGAGAACCGAAGGGAAAGAGGAGGACUUCUCUGGGACAAGUCGGGGGGAGGAGACUGAGACCUCUAUCUGCCAGGCCAGGAGCUUACAGGAACUCACUCCUUUCCACUGUAGGGGCCCAACCAGCAGAGACCUGGUGUCCUAACCAAGGGUCUUGCCACCAAAGGUGCAGGGUCUGGAGGGGGUCACCCUGGAGAUGGUGGGCAUGUGACCCCAGGUGCAGGGUCUGGAGGGGGUCACCCUGGAGAUGGUGGACAUGUGUCCCCAGGUGCAGGGUCUGAAGGGGGUCACCCUGGAGAUGGUGGGCAUGUGACCCCAGGUUCAGGGUCUGGAGGGGCUCACCCUGGAGACUGUGGACAAGUGACCCAGGUUCAGGGUCUGGAGGGGGUCACCCUGGAGAUGGUGGACAUAUGUCCCCAGGUGCAGGGUCUGGAGGGGGUCACCCUGGAGACGGUGGACAUGUGACUGCAGGUAGGGUCUGGGAGGGGGUCACCCUGGAGACUCUGGGCAUGUGACCCCAGGUGCGGGUCUGGAGGGGCUCACAGUGGAGACGGUGGGCGUGUGACCCCAAGUGCAGG
rnacentral:lncRNA from 1 species